rnacentral:rRNA from 1 species
GAUGAACGCUGGCGGCGUGCCUAAUACAUGCAAGUCGAGCGAAUGGAUUGAGAGCUUGCUCUUAUGAAGUUAGCGGCGGACGGGUGAGUAACACGUGGGUAACCUGCCCAUAAGACUGGGAUAACUCCGGGAAACCGGGGCUAAUACCGGAUAACAUUUUGAACCGCAUGGUUCGAAAUUGAAAGGCGGCUUCGGCUGUCACUUAUGGAUGGACCCGCGUCGCAUUAGCUAGUUGGUGAGGUAACGGCUCACCAAGGCAACGAUGCGUAGCCGCACUGAGAGGGUGAUCGGCCACACUGGGAGUGAGACACGGCCCAGACUCCUACGGGAGGCAGCAGUAGGGAAUCUUCCGCAAUGGACGAAAGUCUGACGGAGCAACGCCGCGUGAGUGAUGAAGGCUUUCGGGUCGUAAAACUCUGUUGUUAGGGAAGAACAAGUGCUAGUUGAAUAAGCUGGCACCUUGACGGUACCUAACCAGAAAGCCACGGCUAACUACGUGCCAGCAGCCGCCGUAA